GACGAACGCUGGCGGCAGGCCUAACACAUGCAAGUCGAGCACCCCGCAAGGGAGCGGCGGACGGGUGAGUAACGCGUGGGAAUUUUCCUUCAAGGUACGGAACAACCCAGGGAAACUUGGGCUAGUACCGUAUGAUGCAGAGAUGCCAAAGAUUUAUCGCCUUGGGAUAAGCCCGCGUCAGAUUAGGUAGUUGGUGGGGUAACGGCCUACCAAGCCUGCGAUCUGUAGCUGGUCUGAGAGGACGAUCAGCCACACUGGGACUGAGACACGGCCCAGACUCCUACGGGAGGCAGCAGUGGGGAAUCUUGCGCAAUGGGCGAAAGCCUGACGCAGCCAUGCCGCGUGAGUGAUGAAGGUCUUAGGAUUGUAAAGCUCUUUCGCCCGUGACGAUGAUGACGGUAACGGGAGAAGAAGCCCCGGCUAACUUCGUGCCAGCCGCCGCAGUAAG
rnacentral:rRNA from 1 species